AUAUCGGCGCAGGAGUUUUGCUGUUUGUCCUGCUUGUUGCUGCUCUAAGGAGAACGGUGUCCGAGCAGCAGGCGAUCG
rnacentral:sRNA from 1 species